GCGCGUAGAGGGAAGGCCGAAGGCGGCGCGUUGCUAAGUUGUUGUGGCGGUGGCUUAGUUUCCAGAAACCCUAGGGUUUUUGUUUGUGAUUUUUUGGUUUUGGGCUUAGGAGAUUUGGGCCAGGGUUAGGUGUCGGGCUAAUUGGGUUAGUUUUGGGUAAUUUAGGUUGAAAUGAUUUGGGCUAUGUAUUUGUAAUUCAGGUUUGGGCUAAUUGGGCUAUUUGGGUUUUUAAUGGAUUAAUAGUUUGUAAAUGGACUGUUUUAUGGGACAUUUAUUCUAUUUUUUGAUUAUUUAUUUAUUUGUUUUUUUAUAUAUAAGGUGUAUGGGCCCAGGCUAAAAUUGGGUAUUACAUUAACUACAACAACUCGGUAUUUUAUGAUGAUCAAUGUUGAACUAUGGCAUGUAUAGGGACUUAGUCAUUUUGAAU
rnacentral:lncRNA from 1 species